GAUGAACGCUGGCGGCGUGCCUAAUACAUGCAAGUCGAGCGAACAGACGAGGAGCUUGCUCCUCUGACGUUAGCGGCGGACGGGUGAGUAACACGUGGAUAACCUACCUAUAAGACUGGGAUAACUUCGGGAAACCGGAGCUAAUACCGGAUAAUAUAUUGAACCGCAUGGUUCAAUAGUGAAAGACGGUUUUGCUGUCACUUAUAGAUGGAUCCGCGCCGCAUUAGCUAGUUGGUAAGGUAACGGCUUACCAAGGCAACGAUGCGUAGCCGACCUGGGAGGGGGAUCGGCCACACUGGAACUGAGACACGGUCCAGAGUCCUACGGGAGGCAGCAGUAGGGAAUCUUCCGCAAUGGGCGAAAGCCUGACGGAGCAACGCCGCGUGAGUGAUGAAGGUCUUCGGAUCGUAAAACUCUGUUAUUAGGGAAGAACAAAUGUGUAAGUAACUAUGCACGUCUUGACGGUACCUAAGCAGAAAACCACGGCUAACUACGU
rnacentral:rRNA from 1 species